CAAGUCACAAGGACGUCAGAGCUGGCCUCUGGCCCAACACAGGGAGCUGGAAUCUGGCCCCUCCUUGGUCAUCUAGCCACUUCCACCAGCAAUCCUGUGAGGUGGGUACCAUUAUGCGUCCCAAUCGCCCAGAUGAGGAAACUGAGGCCCAGAGAGCUGAAGUCAGAGUGGACUCCAUUCCCUGGAGGCCACCAGACCCGAAGCCCCAUCUUCCAGGCCCCGGCUCAGGCUGUCUGUUUUCCUGAAUGUUCUUCCUCUGGAGCCCUCACUUCCGGCCCCAGGGCUGGCUGGCGCAGAAGUCUCCUACCU